UACAGAGGUCUCAAGCGUUGUCGGAUUCCUUGGGCGUAAAGGGUGCGUAGGCGGCGCGGUAAGUUGGGUGUGAAAUCUCGGGGCUUAACUCCGAAACUGCAUUCGAUACUGCCGUGCUUGAGGACUGGAGAGGAGACUGGAAUUUACGGUGUAGCAGUGAAAUGCGUAGAUAUCGUAAGGAACGCCAGUGGCGAAAGCGAGUCUCUGGGCAGCAUCUGACACUGAGGCACGAAGGCCAGGGGAGCAAACGGG
rnacentral:rRNA from 1 species